UGUUAGUAUUCAUUUUAAUUUUGUGCAAUACUGUACAGUACCUUUGGAAAAAAAAAAUUGGAAAAACAAAUGGGGUACAACAUACAUAUUAAAUAAUGAGACUUGGUUUACUUAGAGAAUCUUGCGUUUAUUUUUGUCUGGUAAAGGGAUAUGUCAAGAAAAGUGAUGGAAUGAUUUGGAUUUGGAUUUCUUCUAUGUGAUACAAACCAAGGAUUAUGUUUGCUGUUUGGCAUAUCCUUGUCUUUAGGCCUAAAACAAUUAAUAAAAUAAAAUAAAAUACACACGCCUGCUAAAAUACCCUACGCACCAAAAUUUAUCAUUUACCCAUCGCAUAUCACUUUUGAGUAUGAUGCCAUAAUUUAUUCAACAUUAUAUUAUUGUUUCUAUUAAUUUUGUAGGAGCAAAAUUUUAGGCAAUUUGUUUCUUCUGCCUUUACCGCUCGGCCACUCGACUAGCCUCAUGUGAUAACUGUGUGGAUCUAUCAAUGUUGAACCCUGGGAUUGGAAGAAUUACUCGGAAGGAGACAGUUCAGACAGAUUUUAUGCCACCAAAUCCUCCUAGUAGCCCUCAGCAAGUCAGAAGCCCUAAGGGUCAGACAUAGGCUUAGCAGUGGAGCCAUGGACACACCUGUAUUCCUUCCAGCAAAAUAUAUACGGCCAUCAGUUUCGGAAGUUUUCUUCGAAAAGCAGAGAACUUCUUUUGCAUGCGAAAAAGCACUGUGAAAUUGAGUAGAAGUAAUGACGGUUUGAGAUGGAACAAGUGAAGUCCACAAAGAUGAGCAGAGUGCCCAGCCCACAUGUGACAGCAUGAAUGAUGAGUCUGCGCCCUCUAUGAUAGUGUCAGGAAUGCAGUUGAAACAUUGAAGAUAGUAACAGUAAAGAGGAAUGUUCUUCAAUGGAGAAUUUGGUUACUGGAAACCAAAAAGAACAGUUAGAGACAGAAUUACUAUGAAGAAGACUGUUGAGACAGAUUUUAUGCCAAAAAAAUCCUCCU